UCUGUUUCUCGACCCAUGCACAGGCAAUGAUGCAAGGGUAGCACCGAUGUGUCUGUUGGCUUAUUCCGCCGACGCAUACGGGAUGAAACCCUGCUUGAUGUCUCGUCAUGACAACUGGAUCCUUUGCUUUCAUAUAUACGCUGCUCUUUUUCGCCGCCACUGUCGAUUCGAAGAAAAUACGCAAACUACCAAAGCUACAUGGCUCCCUAUGUAACACUACUCGAGAAUGCAACGUUGGUCAAAAGCUGGCAUGUCUUCUGAUAAAUGGAAAUAAAGUGAUACAUUGCAUACACCAUUCAAUAAUCUGCAAAAUCUACUGGAAAAGAUAUUGCCCAAGGCCACUUACUCCCCGAUGCAAGAAUGAGCCUACCGAGUGCAAAUGUUGUUGUGCGGUAAAGGACUCUUGGGUUACAAGGUUUCUUAGGUGUGUCUUCUAAAUGCCUGCUUCUGACUGCUACAAGCAAGCCUAGCACCCGUAGUGUGUGCGCCCAUACUGAAAGAGAGAAGAGGACAAACGUUUAAUAAUCUGAAUCAGUGGGGAAGAGUUCAAACCUUGCAGAACGUGCUUAGAGAACUUCAAAAAUAUGAGCGAAUAAAUUUCUGUGGUAGUCGGUAUUAAAAUUAGGACACAAUAAUUAUUCAUUUUUUAAUGAUCCACAAUGAGGAAGGUCCCUUUCAUGUGCAAAAGCUUAGUUCAUUCUGCGCAUGUUCCCAAACUUUUUCUCCAGCUUCCUUGCUCUGACAUCUUCUGAUAAAUGUUUGGCAAUAAACUUCAAUGGCUUGUUUCUUCCUUUUACCGGAGAGAAUGAAUGAAUAAAUGACGGAAAUAAAAGGUGACAGUUA